GAUCGCAGCGCGGCUGAUCGUGCCCGGGCUGUGUGGGAGGGCCCGUGCCGGGCCGUGUGGGGGGCCCGUGCCGAGCCGUGUGGGGGGCCCGUGCCGAGCCGUGCCCGGACCGUGUGGGGGACCCGUGCCCGGCCUGUGUGGGGGACCCGUGCCCGAGCCGUGCGCGGGGAGGCCGCAGGCGGUGGUCGAGCUCAGUCGCACUCUAAUGGGGAUCCGAGGAUGCGUCUCCCACGCAAGGGCCAAGUGAGACCCGGGGCAAGGUCAAAGGCACGUUAGAGGCCCGUUCUGCCGUGCCUGCCGCCCCUCAGGACUCAUGGCUGCGCCCUUCGCCUCCACCGUGCCCUGACACCCUGUCCAUCCUGUCCAUCUUUUGCAGAAAUGGAACGUGGGCUGACUUAACAUGCAAACUUCAUAUGGUCGUUCCCAACAACAACCAAACUACACGUGCCAACAGCUAAGCAAAUGUGGAGCAUCCCUUGAACAGCAACACCAGAAAUUUGGAAAAUUGGUCCAUACAUAAUGCAAGAGAAACCAGGGUCCUGGAGUUGACCUGCUCUCUGGUACUAGAGGGAGCUCCAAACUGGAAGCUGUGGCAACCAGCAUGAGCAAUUGAGGCCAGCUCAGCGACCAGCAUAAGCAAGAGCAUACAAAGUAACCAUCUUCACUCCCAGACUGUUCUGCAAUGGAAAGCCGGGAGCUGUUAUUUUCCAGGUUCUGCCCUCACAGAAGAGGCCUUGCAGCUUUCUAUGGGGCUAAGCAUCAGACAGGAACAAUGCCACCGUAUUGCUUGGCAGAUGUCUGCCUGAAUGUUCUUAUGUGUUUAGGCCAGCUCUGCACAGACUUCAUGGAUGGCACUCAGCACAGAGGCUGGCCCUGGCCCAGGGACCUGAAAGGAGAGACGCUUGCAAACCCCUCUCUGCUGAGCUGGUGUUCCCAAUGGCCUGCUGUCUAACCUCCCCCCACUCCCCAAGAGAAUGUAGGUCACUGUUCACAUUGUUUUCCUCUGAGCCUCGACCGUUCCUGUUUUGCCACUUGGUUUGCAAUUAGCCCAUACUUUUGUAAUUGACCUAAAUAAGCCUGUUUGUUUCAUUUUCCUCCAUCCCAUGCUUUAUGUUUCCAGAGAGUUGUAAUUAAUAAGAAGGAUGCAGCAUGAAUAUCUUCUGCAAGCCCAGAGUGGGCAGUGCCCUGGCUGAAGUUAGUCCUGCUCUUGAUGCUCAGCAGCAAGCUGACAACGUAAACCAGAACUCAGGCAGCUUUGGGUUUUGCCCUGAGAAAAAGACAGCACGACAGAUCUUACAGCUUGACUGUGCUGUAUGGCCUCCACAGACGCCUUUUAUUGUUACUGCUGUUAGCAAAAUGAAAGAACUAGAACAACACUGUGAGCAAGCAAAUAAGAAAUCCCUCCGAUAACAAGUGAUGUCCCAGCGUUAUACUGCAAGCCAUGAAACCCACCCAUUUGUAUCGGUUUUCACAGCUGCUCACUUUGCUCUCACAACCACACUUAGCACAGUGAUGGUGUUCUAAAUUUCCUCUCAUGUCACAACCCUGCCCUCCCCAUGAUGCAUGAAGUCUGAAUGCUGGAAAAUCAAAUGCAACAGAGCAUGGAAGUUAUCCCACUAAAUCUCUCGUGCCGUUGGGCAAUACUCAGCUGGACAGGUUUCAGGCACCACUUUUUGCUUCAGUUUUCCCAUCUGUUCUCAUGAACUCCUGCUUGGAGAGGAACAUCUCAUGAAUGUUUCCUUUAUUUGCACUACUUUUUGCCUCUCACAUCCUUAAAAGACAGAAGUAAACAUCAAAACAAACCUUGCAAGAGAGCUUUUCCCAAAACUUCCUGUUGUGUUCCAGACCCUCCCGCAGAGAUGUUCUGCUGCUUCCCACCGGGGUGCCCAUCUCUGUGUUCCCCUCCUGCAGGCAGGGCUGUGUUGGGGUCCAUAUGUCAGGUUGGCACAGAGGUCAGUACCAAGGCCCAUAGGAGUCACAGAGCCUGUAGAGGGUUUAGCACUGUGGUGUCCCUGAACACCAAGCUCCAGCCUCUCACUUCAGAGAUGCUGGAGGAAGGCACAGGGAAUGGAAAGCAAACUACAUGUCAUGCUGCUCAGAAACCAAAUACCAGAAAUGUUCGCACUGCAUCUAUUUGUAGUUUUCCUGAUGUGUUACCAAUAUCCUACCUAGCAGUAUGCAGUCAAUGUCUGUCCCUUUGCUUGGUUCUCUAGAAAGACUCUGAGAGGACUUUAGUAGGUAUCAGCUGCAAAGCACAACUUGGUCCCAGGGCAGACUCUGUCCAGCAAGCUGAGAGAUGACAUAGAAAUAGGCACAACAAGAGCUGUGGCAUAAGGUUGUGGAACUGGGGUUUUCCAAUAAGACUAAAUUUUGUACCCACCUCUAACUUGAUAUCCUUGGGAACUAGGGCAACAAAUUACCAUAAACCUCUUUUAUAAUCCCCUCCAUUUAACCUCUUGCUCCUUGACACAGACUUUGAGAUCCAGGUUUCCCCCUUUCUCUGUAAUAUACCUUGGCUUGCAAAAUUCACUGUGCAGAACAAAAUCUGAACUUUCCACUCCCCAUGGCAACCAUAAUUCAAUUAAACAAGACAAACCUUGGACAGCAGUUGGUCCUUGGACAGGACAUGGUAUACUAAAUACGAUACCAGCAGGAGGAGAGUGAAACACAAAACUCAUGAAACAAUCCUGUUAAAAGAGAGUUGGCAAGUGGGUGCCCUUCAGGACAAGGACACACACAAACACACAUGAUCUGCCCUUUCUUUAGUCCAGCACACUUCACAGAGAUGACAACAAAUAGGAAGGACCGGGAUUAAUGGCAACUUUUGCGUGCUUGCAAGUCUAUCUGAAGAGCCCCCAAGUACACAUUCAACUUGUAGGGAUGGAUGCAUUUGUUCCCUUUGCUAAUGUGCAAAUACAGGUCUGACUAGGGAUGCUUUCCUUAAGCAGUGCCAAUGUGGGCAGAAAACAAAUGUCAAAUACAAGAAAAUUGCACACAGCCCAUUAGUCAUCUGGCAGGACAACUGACUGAGAGGGAAAUAUAAAAGUAUAGCCAGAUCACACUCUCACGGAGGUGAAAAAAAGAAAACAUGGUGACUAAAUACCAAAGUCAUGGCAAACCCAAAUAUUAUUCUCAGAAUGACUAGAAUUAGGAAGGCUAGAAGGCAGGAAGCAAUAGCCUAGAAAUGUUGCCCGGGAAGGGGCACUAUCUCCAUCCCUUGAGGUUUUUAAGUCCUGGAUGGAGAAAGACCUGACCAGCCUGAUUUGAUCUAAUGACUGCCCCUGCCCUGGACAGGAAGCUGGACUGUAGAUCUCCAAGGGCCUUUCCUAUGUGAAUUUUUCUGUGGUCCUAUGAGUGCCUGUGAUUCGGCAUACAGAGAAGGCAACUACUGACAUUGCCAUGACAACAAACUGGAUUUCUGCUGGUCUUGCAGCUUCCUGCAAAGAAAAGAGUGCAUGCUUCCUUGAGAGAAAUGCUCACAACCCCCCCAAGAUUUACAGCACUAGAUUCAUUGGACCUUUGCUUUCAAUC